rfam:Schistosoma mattheei strain Denwood, Zambia genome assembly, scaffold: SMTD_scaffold0011278
ACCUUGCUGACGAGUGCCAAGUAACACGAAACUCGGGUCCAGGAU